GUGCUCACUUGACAGCAUACAUACUAAAAUUGGAACAGUACAGUGAAGAUUAGCAUGGCCCCUGUGCAGAGAUACAUGUAAAUUUGCAAAGUGUUCCAUAUUUUU
ensembl:snRNA U6 U6 spliceosomal RNA